AUUAAUGUUAUCUGCAAGAUCAUUAAUAUACAACAUGAACAGCAAGGAUACUGAUGUACUUCCCUGGGGCACACCCAAGCUGUUCAUGACUUUCCAUACAAGAUAACUUGCUGCAUCCUCUCUACCAAAAAAAUCCUCAAUGCUGAUACAAAUUUUGCUUGAUAUCCCAUAUGAUUGGCUUUCGAUGAUUUAUGGCCUCACGGGACUGCGCAGUCUUUGCAGCUGCCCGUUGGUGCCACCACGGCACCACAGGAGGAGCAGAUGGACGAUGAGCCCUCACCUCCGCCCUGCCCGCCUCCCACCCAUGGAUCUGGACUCGCCAUCGCCCUUGCCGUCAUUGCCCCAGGACCCACUCUCAGGCCUGGAUGUGUGCCCUGGCAGCAGUUUUAGGAGCAGGGGAAGCUCACAGAGGCCGGACGGAUUGAGCUUAAGAGGAGAGGGUUAUUAAUCGAUGGACAUGACAGAGUCAGCUUUCCAUCUACCAGCCACGGUUAUGGGAAUCACGUAACUGAACAUAUCAGGACCACAACUGUAUUGGCCAGAUGUACCUUUGGAAUUAUUGCCAGCACCGAAUAUAACAUUUCUAAAUCAA